rnacentral:rRNA from 1 species
CACGUAGUUAGCCGGGGCUUCUUAGUCAGGUACCGUCAUUUUCUUCCCUGCUGAUAGAGCUUUACGUACCGAGAUACUUCUUCACUCACGCGGCGUCGCUGCAUCAGGGUUUCCCCCAUCGUGCAAUAUUCCCCACUGCUGCCUCCCGUAGGAGUUUGGGCCGUGUCUCAGUCCCAAUGUGGCCGUCCACCCUCUCAGGCCGGCUACUGAUCGCUGCCUUGGUGGGCCGUUACCCCGCCAACUAGCUAAUCAGACGCGGAUCCAUCGUAUACCACCGGAGUUUUUCACACUGCCCCAUGCGGAGCCGUGCGCUUAUGCGGUAUUAGCACCUAUUUCCAAGUCGUUAUCCCCCGGUAUACGGCAGGUUAUCCACGCGUUACUCACCCGUCGCCACUAACUCAUAAAUCACUAGGUUUCAAUAUGAGUCCGUUCACUUGCAUGUGUUAAGCACGCCGCCAGCGUUCAUCCUGAGCCAGGACUCAAACUCUA